GACGAACGCUGGCGGCGUGCUUAACACAUGCAAGUCGAACGGAAAGGCCCUGCUUUUGUGGGGUGCUCGAGUGGCGAACGGGUGAGUAACACGUGAGUAACCUGCCCUUGACUUUGGGAUAACUUCAGGAAACUGGGGCUAAUACCGGAUAGGAGCUCCUGCUGCAUGGUGGGGGUUGGAAAGUUUCGGCGGUUGGGGAUGGACUCGCGGGUUAUCAGCUUGUUGGUGGGGUAGUGGCUUACCAAGGCUUUGACGGGUAGCCGGCCUGAGAGGGUGACCGGCCACAGGGGAACUGAGACACGGUACAGACGACUACGGGAGGCAGCAGUGGGGAAGAGUGGACAAUGGGGGCAAGCGUGAUCCAGCCAUACCGCGUGGGUGAAGAAGGCCUUCGGGUUGUAAAGCCCUUUUGUUGGGAAAGAAAAGCAGCAGGUUAAUACCCCGCUGUUCUGACGGUACCCAAAGAAUAAGCACCGGCUAACUUCGUG
rnacentral:rRNA from 1 species